UACAGAGGGGGCAAGCGUUGUUCGGAAUUACUGGGCGUAAAGGGCGCGUAGGCGGCCUCUUAAGUCGAACGUGAAAUCCCCGGGCUCAACCCGGGAACUGCGUCCGAUACUGGGAGGCUUGAAUCCGGGAGAGGGAUGUGGAAUUCCAGGUGUAGCAGUGAAAUGCGUAGAUAUCUGGAGGAACACCGGUGGCGAAGGCGGCAUCCUGGACCGGUAUUGACGCUGAGGCGCGAAAGCUAGGGGAGCAAACGGG
rnacentral:rRNA from 1 species